GAAGGGUGCAAGCGUUACUCGGAAUUACUGGGCGUAAAGCGUGCGUAGGUGGUGAGUUAAGUCUGUCGUGAAAGCCCCGGGCUCAACCUGGGAAUGGCGAUGGAUACUGGCUCGCUAGAGUGCGGUAGAGGAGAGUGGAAUUCCCGGUGUAGCAGUGAAAUGCGUAGAGAUCGGGAGGAACAUCAGUUGCGAAGGCGGCUCUCUGGACCAGCACUGACACUGAGGCACGAAAGCGUGGGGAGCAAACAGGAUUAGAUACCCUGGUAGUCCACGCCCUAAACGAUGCGAACUGGACGUUGGGAGCAAUUAGGCUCUCAGUGUCGAAGCUAACGCGUUAAGUUCGCCGCCUGGGGAGUACGGUCGCAAGACUG
rnacentral:rRNA from 1 species